rnacentral:lncRNA from 1 species
GGUUAAGGGAGAAGUGAUGGAGGCGAUUCGAAGCUGUCUUUCCUACCCUCUUCAGUACCUCUUCCAGUGAUGUGAAGUUAAAACCAGAGAUGGAGUCUCCCUGUGUUGCCCAGUCUGGUCUUGAGAGCUUCAGUUUUAAAUAAUAAAUUGUUCUCGUCUUUCUAAAUUUCAAUCAAAACACAGGAUGUAUUUUAAAAGGGAAAAACUGUGAGGUAAAAGAAUAGGGUGAGGGGAGGAAAGAAAUAACUUCAUAGAGAAAAAUUCAAUGAACCCUUGGAAGAAAAUAUAUGGAAGUAUGGUUACUGACUUGGGAAAGAAGAGAAAGGUACAAUGUAACUGCACAUAGAAGCCAGUCCUGAAAAGAAGCAAGCCGGCUGAAGUUAUCUGCAACUCAGAAGCACUUGGUACCACCCAAGGGGAGAUAAGAGGAGAUCUCAUCAGAGGUGCCUGAAAAGCACCUCAGCCGAAGGCCUCACAUAGAGAGACCUAAGAAUGAAGGCACCUGGACUAGGAAUGUGAAUAUGUGAAAGAACAUGACCGGCCAGGGGCCCUGAGUUAUUGAAUGCAACCCCCUUCAGACACUGCAACACACAGGCUGUGCACCAAGCCUAGUAUGGGAAGGACAGCUUUUCUUCAUGAGGCCUGCCAGGUAAAGCCAGCUAUGAAACAGGAAGUUGACCUUCACCAGACACUGAACCUACUGGCACCUUGAUCUUGGACUUCCCAGCCUUACAAACUGUAAGAAAUAAAUGUCUGUUGUUCAUAA